CCCUUAGAUGUUCUGGGCCGCACGCGCGCUACAAUGAUGAAUUCAACGAGUUUAUAACCUUGGUUGAAAAGCCUGGGUAAUCUUUUGAACUUUCGUCGUGAUGGGGCUAGACCCUUGCAAUUAUUGGUCUCCAACGAGGAAUUCCUAGUAAACGCAAGUCAUCAGCUUGCAUUGAUUACGUCCCUGCCCUUUGUACACACCGCCCGUCGCACCUACCGAUUGAAUGGUCCGGUGAAGCCUCCGGAUUGGCGCGCACCUCGGUGCCGCCGAGAAGUUGGCUAAACCUUACCAUUUAGAGGAAGGUGAAGUCGUANCA
rnacentral:rRNA from 1 species